rnacentral:rRNA from 1 species
UACCCGCUGAACUUAAUCAUAUCAAUAAGCGGAGGAAAAGAAACUAACAAGGAUUCCCCUASUAACUGCCGAUUGAAACANGAAAAGCUCAAAUUUAAAAUCUGACMUGCCCUUUGGCUGUCCGAGAWNUAUCUGGAGAAGUGUUUUCCCCGCUGGACCGUGUACAAUUCUCCYGAAUUGC